CCCGGGCAUCCAGGCACAUAAAGGCCUUAUUGCUUCUGAUCAGAGACUGAGGUGGGGCGGCCCCCUGGGCGGCUUCCGGUGCAUACCCUGCCUCUGGGCACGGCCCUGCCGGUCACAGGGGGAGGACAGUUUGAGGAAGUCCCUCUGGCUUCUGACCUAUGGCCCUUGUGCUGCAGCUGCCACCUGUUGGGCUCCCUGGGAAUGGGGUUGCUGGAGCCCAGGCUGGGAUUGGGGCAGGGGAGGUGGUGGGGGUGGGAGGGUAGGGGUGAGGCCUGCACCUCUGCUCAGCACAUGUGGGAGCUCCCUGGGUGGGCAGCCCCAGCCCCACCUCGAGGAAGGCCUUCCUGAACAGCUGGGCUGCAGGGUGUGGAUUUGCAUAGAGGCCUGGGGGGUCAAGUCCCCCCCAAGAGUGAGCUGGAGCAGGAGAAGGGUGGGCUGGUUGGGAAACAGGCCUCCCUCAUCUCUCCUGGCACCGGAGCAUGGUGGGGGUCCCUGGGUGCAGUCCUGGGACAAGGGGCUUUGGCAUCCCUCCCUGGGGAGGGUCAGGCACGGGGCUCCAGGCUAACAAAGGCCCUGGAGAUACUAAGCAGGCUUUAACUGAGAGGCUCCACGUACCACUGACCCAGGCCUGGCCACCCUACCCUAUCCCCAAAG
rnacentral:lncRNA from 10 species